CCAGCCAGCUUCCGCUGCCGUGCUCCACCUGCACACCAACCACAAACUUGCGCAGCCGAUCCUCCAAACGGUGCGCCGGAACCUUCUCAGCCCUGCGAUGCACCCUGCAGCGCACCACCUCCGUGCGACAAGCCCCCAAAGGACAAACCCAACUCCUAUGCUUCUCAACCCGCACCUGGCUAUUACCCACGGUCAGCUCCAUAUGGAAGCCCGUUCGCCUCACUAGUACC
rnacentral:misc_RNA from 1 species